UCUAAGAAAAAACACAUUCAGGGUUGACUAAUGACUACAAACGUAUAAAGAAGUUGUUGGAAGAGUUUGAUGUUGUUCCCAUGUCAGAGCACAGUUCAAGGACCAGAGUUAUUCAACUAGCAACAGCUACAUCAGAUGAAACAAGUUUGUUCACCUCCAUUCGGAAGGAUUUCUGGAACCACCCUGGUCUCGAAUGCAUUGGAAUGAGUUUUUCUGGGAAUGGUGAGGAGCUGCUAGGCAGAAUAAUGAGCCCCUAAUCUUUGGAACCUGUGAAUAUGUUAUGUGACACAGCAACAGGGAAUUACCGUUUCAGAUAGAGUCAAGAAUGCCAAUCAGCUGACUUCAAGAUGGAGUGUUCUGAACU